GUAGAAACCGGAAUUGGUGCUGGCCGGACUGGGUCUGGGCUGGAACUAGAUCCAGUUCAGAUACCGCAGCGCGCUUGGGGCUGGCUGGUCUGACCUGGAAACCGGAGUUGUUCAGAGGGGAUUCGUUAUGAUUUAGAAACGAGACCAGAUCCAACCUGACUGGGCCUGACUUCAGCUGGACUGGGUCUAGUGCGAGGCCUCAGCUUUUGGUGACCAUUUUGAGAGCCACCUGGACAUUCCACCUACUCCAGAUUCUGCAGACAGGAUCCUGGGAAAACUUGCAGAAACUGGCAAAGGGUGUCUUAAUCAAAUUCAGCUAUCCCAGAUCUCGGUGUUGCCCGGUUAAGAGAGAAAGCUCUCAAGACUGCAGCCUAGAUUUGCUGGAUAAUGAAAGGAGAAAGGGGUGGCAAAUAGAAGAAAUCAGCAUUUUGAAAAAGCCCUCCGAGUGCUUUCUGUAUCCACUAACCUGCUUAUCUACAUGGUCUGGAAGGUGUACGUGAAUGUCUCUUGGAAAUUAGGACCAGAUGGCAAGGAGAAUAAGAAUGCAAGAAAAGCCAAAUGCAGACUAAAGAGAGGAGAGACAAAAGUUGAAAAGGAAGCCUACCUUACUUUCCCUUGCCAGACUUCUUGCUUGGAGGUUCAGAACCCACCCUACCAGAGGAGGAGUGUGUGGGACCAUAGGCUGCUAUACUCUCCAUGUCUCUCAUGGUCCUUGUACCAGCAGGGUAUCUAGAGCAUAUGAUGGCAGUGGAGGUUCACAAGAAGAAGUUUAAGCUUGCCAGUCCCCUUUCAGCACAGAUGUGGCACUGGCGUGCUCAUAUAUCACUGAGCAAAGUGGGUGGGAUAGCCACAUUCAAAGUCAAGGACCAGGAAGAUACAUGUCACCCACAACGAGCCAUGGCGGAACAAGUGCAGCAGCAAUGGGAAAAAUUUUCCAUGUGAGGUGAUACAUUUGUUACUUAACUGUAUUAUACAAUCGUUUUGCAGCAUACACAUGUAUUACUUUGUACACACCUUAAACAUACACAGUGCUAUAUGUCAGUCAUAUCAAUAAAGUUGGAGAAAAAAAGGGUUAAAUUUCAUACUGCCUCAGAUUUCUACUUUUAAUUUCAAUUUGUCCAGGAGAAAUUUUAGGUACAAUAAAAUUGAACUUUAAUAAUAUGAAUUUCUUUAAGUUAGCUGGCCCGUUUUUUUUUUUUUUUUUUCAUUGAUUAUAGGAAAACAGCUCUCUCUGUCUCCCCCCAUGUGUGUAUGUGAGGAGAACUGAUUUUGUCUGAAAUGAAAACUGGGUAACUUAAAGGUAGAAUCUCAGCUGCUCACUUCUUCAGGUCAGAGUAUUGCUUUUGUUGUUUUUACUUGAAUUAUGUGGAUGAUUUUCUUGAUCAUUAACUGGUCCUGUCCUGAAAAUAUCUGACUAAAGUAGUAUUGCUUUCUGGUAAACAGUUGAGAUAGUCAUUAGCAUUACUGAACAUGUUUUUACCUUUUUGUAAUUUAUUUUAGUCAAGGGGAAGAUCAAUUACAUUUUGAAAAUACUGUUCACGUUGUUAGAAUCCUUCCAAUCAAUUCAAGCUGGGAAGAUGUAGAUUCAUUAUUUUAUAAUCUAGGUAGCAUCUAAGGUAAUGAUAAAUGCUUUCCUCAGAAUAAAAACACACAUUUAUUUCUUUUCUAACCUACAAAUUACUUGUAUAACUCAAUAUUUUACUUUACUUCCAAUAUUUAAAAAGUGGAUGAUUUAAGGUGAAUCACUGAAUUCAUUCCUCUUGACUUUAAAUGUGUCUUCAUUAUAUGCAUUCCAAAGGAAAAUUAUUACCUAAUCUACAAAGAUAUAUUUUAAUCACCAAAUAAUAUGCUGAAUGCAUUUACAACUGUAAUUUUGUGCAUGUGAAGCAAUUAAUUGCUCAAUAUUAACUGUAGUCUAAUGCUUUGCAAACAGAAUCUGGAUGCAAACCUAUUGAGAAUAUAGACUCACUCCAGACAAGAAAAAGCACUCAGGGACAGAAAGAACUUGACAGUAUUUUAAAGGUAGUCAGCUUCCUAGUUCUUAAAGCCUUAAUGCUGGUUAUAAAGGUGGUUAAGGUAGGGAUAAGGGAGGAUAUAUUUUUGUGGAGGGGGUUAUAACGUAUGGAGUUUUGGUAUUUAUUCUGUUAUUUUAUAUUUUUUUUCUUGGUGGUAGUUACACUAGGAUGGAAACUAUUGCAAUCUGAGCCAUUUUGUCAGAAUAGCUUGAAGAAAGAAAGUGGAGAAUAGGAGCUCAGUAAAUAUGCCAAAUGAGUCAUCUAUAGACUGAAUAUUCCUACCCGAACCUCCUAUUCUUACCUUGAAAACCUAAUUUCCCAAGGUGAUGGUGUUAAGAGGUGUCUUUAGGAGGUGAUUGGGUCAUAAGGGUGCAGCCCUAGUGAGUGGGAAUAGUGCUUUCAUAAAAGAGGCCUUGCCCCUCCUGACGACCUUGAGAAAUCAACUGUGUAUGAACCAGGAAGAGGACUGUCACCAGAUACUAAAUCUGCAGGUGCCUUAUCUCAAAGUUUCCAGCCUUCAGAACUGUGAGAAAAAAAAAAUUGUAUUGUUUAUGAGCCACCUGUCUAUUGUGUUCUGUUACAGCAGCCUGAGUGGAGUAAGAAAAUGACUUGUAAAUCCGUUUUCUAUUUUACUGAAUAGGCGGUAGAUGAAUGUAGGGUGUUGCCUCUACGGGACCACUUUAUAGGGUUGGUCUGUACUUUUGUGUUUAUGCAUAUGUGUGUUCUCUUAAUAUCCUUUUGAAAAAGGUCACCAUAUUUGGGGGGGCAGAAUAAGAAAAAGACAAAGUAGAAAUGAGUGGUGGUGUUUGAUCCUUGGGUGUGUACAUUCGUAUAGAUCUUUUAUGACCUCAGCUAAGUAUAUACAACGUCUUAUAGUACUUCAUAUUUCAAAGAGAAUGUACAUUGAUUCACAUAUGAGUUUUAGAAUGAUGGUACUGAAGAUAAUUAGAACCUGAGGGACAAGAGACAAAAUAUUAAUAGGACUAUUUCUGCCUUAUUGUGGUAUUUCCCUAUUUCACAGAUGGCAAACACUUGAUAUUCAUUGAAAGAAUGAAUAAAUGAAUGAUAUGGAGUCAGAAAUUAUGAAUUAAAAGUAUAGUAUAUAAAUGAGAGAAAGAUUUAUAUUGUGAGGCAGAUAGACUGGUAUAAAAAUAAAAAAGUAAAAUCUGAUGAAGAAAGUAAAGAAGAUGAACUGGGAAAGAUAUAACUGUAAAGCAAGGAGAACAAAAUCAUUAUAUGAGACCCGAUCUGACCUGAACCGAGCACCUCAAGACAGGCAGAAAUUGAGAUUGAGUAGUAGAACCAAGAAGAAAGACAUGGAGAUUAGUUGUCCAGCCCUGGAAUAGAUGUUAUUUUAUGACCAGUCUUUUGCAAAGGAAGAAACUGAACUAGAGGUUUGAGUAAUUUACCUUGGGGAUGGGGGAGGUUGAUACGAACCAUGGCAGUGUCCUGUGAGCACAUGCUCUUAACCCCUGGUAGUGUCCCUGGAGAAAGAAGGGACUUAUGGUUAUGGCUUCUUACCAUUCACAUGGAGUUUGGAGCACACUGUGUGAUGAGACGGGUAGGUGGAAAUGUUCCUAUAAUACAUAAGCCUGCCAGAAAAUCAACACUUCCAUCAGUGAGUCUUAGGAGAUCUGAAAACAAUGACACCAUCUGUAUGGGUACAGAUUCCCAAGGUGUCAGGAGAGAUAGCCUUGAACAUUCUUCAUUAUGAGGCUACAUGGGUACAGUUCUGAUUGUGGUCAGGCCUGUACAUCAGGACAAUGACAUCAAGGCCGGACUGAUAUUCAGUGGUUGGAGCUGCCUGGGGAAAGGAAAAAAAAAUCCCACUAACCCUUUUAAAACACAGCUAAAUGCCGAUUACACCCUUAAACAUUUCAGAGGGCAUUGGUGCCUAGAUUUAGCCUGCUGAAUUUAAUCAUUUUGCAUCAUCCAGCUUUAUAACAGAAGUUUUUAGGUUUUAACUUCUUUAGGGGACAGUCUGGUGACUGCAGAAAGAAAAUUUCUUUUCAACAUGUUAUUUGCGUGAGAGGGUUCUAGCUCCCAAGAGGAUUAUGCUAGGCACUCAUAGACAGUAAAAUAAAUUGAAAUAGAGAUACCCGGCACUGUUAAGUUAUACUUGGUUACUAAUAGACAGCUUUGUGGUAAAGCACUGAAUUCAGAAUCCCACAUUGAAUUCUGUCACAGUGGCUACUAACCGUAAAAUAAAUGCACUAUGUUUCUUAUGGUUUGCGACUUUUUGAACAACAUUUAUUGCAUUUUCUCAGAUUAUUUAUAACUGGACUCAUUACUUUAAAUUUAGAGCUACUCUCCUGAACAGGAUAUCUGAAAACACAUUGAACAUAUCAUUUGAAAAUGCAAUUAAUAUCCAUUUACAAAAAGUUUAUCUCAUAUUUUCUAGCAUUUCAUAUACCCUGAUAUGUAUAGAGUAAGUGCUCAAUAAAUUAUAACUAUUGUGCUUUCCGUAUCAAACUUUAUUUACAUUUUAUAUUAAAUAUAAUUUAUUGUCGAAUUGGUUUCCAUACAACAUCCAGUGCUCAU